rnacentral:rRNA from 1 species
GACGAACUGUGCAAACGUUAUUCGGAAUCACUGGGCUUAAAGGGUGCGUAGGCGGUCUUGUAAGUAGGGUGUGAAACCCCCGGCUCAACCGGGGAACUGCGUCCUAAACUGCGAGGCUACAGUGAGGUAGGGGUGUGUGGAACUUCCAGUGUAGAGGUGGAAUUCGUAGAGAUGUGGAGGAACACCAGUGGCGAAGGCGACUCUUUGGUCUGUAACUGACGCUGAGGCGCGAAAGCGUGGGGAGCAAACAGG